AGUGAACGCUGGCGGUAGGCCUAACACAUGCAAGUCGAACGGCAGCACAGUAAGAGCUUGCUCUUACGGGUGGCGAGUGGCGGACGGGUGAGGAAUACAUCGGAAUCUACUUUUUCGUGGGGGAUAACGUAGGGAAACUUACGCUAAUACCGCAUACGACCUACGGUUGAAAGCAGGGGAUCUUCGGACCUUGCGCGAUUGAAUGAGCCGAUGUCGGAUUAGCUAGUUGGCGGGGUAAAGGCCCACCAAGGCGACGAUCCGUAGCUGGUCUGAGAGGAUGAUGAGGCACACUGGAACGGAGACACGGUCAAGACGCCUACGGGAGGCAGCAGUGGGGAAUAUGGGACAAUGGGGGCAAGACUGAUCCAGCCAGACCGCGUGGGUGAAGAAGGCCUGCGGGUUGUGAAGCCCUGGUGUUGGGAAAGAAAAGCAGCAGGUUAAGACCCCGCGGUUCUGACGGUACACAAAGAAUAAGCACCGGCUAACUUCGUG
rnacentral:rRNA from 1 species